rnacentral:rRNA from 1 species
AGCGUAGGUGGCCUAACAUGUCAACUGUGAAAACCCGGAGCUCAACUCCGGACUUGCAGUUGAAACUGGUAGGCUUGAGGACGGUAGAGGAAGACGGAACUGCCAGUGUAGGGGUAAAAUCCGUAGAGACCGGUAAGAAGGCCAGUGGCGAAGGCGCUUUUCUGGGCUGUUACUGACGCUGAGGCUCGAAAGCCAGGGGAGCAAACC